rnacentral:lncRNA from 1 species
UCAUAUCUAAAUUUGACAUAUGAACAUCUUCCAUUAAAUAUGACCUGUUUUUUCCUCUUCAAUGGUCUUCUAAUAUCAAUCUGAGCCCUUAUGCGCAUAUAAUUUUGAUUUCCUUUCCCAAGUUUGCUCCAUCGUAUUCCAAAAACUUCCUCCAAAAAUUACCCAAUUGUGCGGCUAAUUUUUCUGAAUAUAAACCAACUAGAACAUCAUGAAUUUGAAUCCAAAUAGGAGAAUAAAUUAAGGGAACUUUAAGCGGAUCUUCCCCCAACUGUAACCUAUAAAGGACUAACAGAUGAUUGUUGAAAGCCUAUGGAGAACCCUUAAGAACCCUUUCCAUGUUCAUAACAUGAAAAAAUUAAAAUAAAUAUUGUUUUUCUCCCAAAUCUGAAUCUGAACCCCACAAAUCGGAUGUCACAUGUCGAAACCGUUUUUUUGAAAAGAGGAAUCGACUUUGUUUGGAAACGAAAAUUAAAACGGGAGUCGCCACCGAUCUUUAUUAGGUGUGAUCGGAUCACAUUUUUUUUAAUAAAACAAUUUAGCUUACUAAAAUGGCAUUUUGGUCUACGGAAUUCAAGAGAACAAGUUCGGGAGUCAGUUACGUGCGAGGAAGGGUUAGCACCUUCGACACGCCCGAAAAAUUGGUAUCGAAUUGAUUAAUUAGUCUUAAUGUUGAAAAUUAAAAAUUGGGAAUGGAUUUAAAAUACGAUCCUUUUUAUUAACGUUAAUUUUAAAAAGUUCGAAUUAAAUCAAAGUGAUUGCUAAAGAUUUCCUCGUCUCGAGAUAUCGAAGUAUUACAUCCUGUAAGUUAGGACACGAUACCAUGAACACUCGAGCGCAAGUUGUCUUUAAUUUUAAUUGGAAUUUCGUGUAUUUUAAAACUCAAAAGGAUAAUUGGGAAUUUAGGACCAACGAGAAAAUUGAAACUUCGUAAGUUAGGGCAUGGUUUCUCGAUGUUCCAAAACGCGAAACAUUGCUUUAUUUUGAAAUUUCGUUUUGAAAUAUAGCGAGUAUGAUAUUUAACGAUGUGCAAUAUUUGUUUGAAUUAAAAAAUAAUAAUUUAUUGGAUAAAUAUAACGAGGCUUGAUUCAUGAGGCGAUGAUAUUACAUAGGAAUAUAGUAAAUGUACAUAGAAUAAUAAUGCAUGGAUACAAAAUUAUAAUAAUGCAUGGAUACAAUAUUAUAUGAAUGAAUAACAAUAAUGCAAAAAUAUGAAGUAAACGAAUUAAAAUACACAAUAUUAUAUGAAUGAAUAAUAAUGCAAUAAUCACACAACAUACAUUAUUUAAAUACUAAUCAUUAAUAAUCAAUGACAAAUGAAUUAAAUUAAAAAAAUUUACAAUGCAAAUUAAAAUGAAUAAAACGUAGAACAAAUUUUAAAAUGAUAAGAAAUGAAUUUAAAAUAAAUAAUGAAAAAAGAAAUUUAAUCAACAAUGUACAAAACAAUUUAAAAAUAGAAUAUAUGUAUAAACAAUUUUAGAAAAGGUAAUAUAGGCGAAAGUUUGUAAUAAAUAAUAUACGGGAAAAGUUUAAAAUGAAUAAUAUGUAAAAUAAUUUAAGAUAAUUAAUAUAUGAAUGAGUUUAAAAUAAAUGUUAUGUAAAAAGAAACUUAAAAUAAGUAUUAUACAAGACAUCUAAGAAUUAACUAGUAUAUAUAUAAAAAGAUAUAACAAUUUGAAAUUGAUAAUAUAUAUAUAAUUUUAAAGUAAAUAAUAAAACAAUUUAAAAUGAAAAAUGCAUAAAGCGAGUUUAAAAUAAAUAGUGUAAAAGAAUUUUAAAAUCUAUAUUACACAAAGCAAAUAAAAAAGAUACAUAUGAAUAAUUUUAAAAUAGAUAAUAUAUAUAAAUAAAAAUGUAAAAUAAAUAAUAUGGAAUAAGUAGAAUGGGUUUAAAAUAAGGUAUAUAAAAUAAUUUUAAAAUAAAUAAUAUAUAAUUUAAUUUAAAAGUAAUAAAUAAGAAGUUUAAAAUAUAUAAUACGUAAAAGAAUUAAAAUUAGACACUAUAAAUAUACUUUGUAAUAGUAACAGUUCAAAGAUAAUAAAAAGAGAGUUAUUUAAAAUACAUAAUAUACAAUAACUUAAAAUAUAAAAUAAUUUGAAAUAAAUAUAUAAUAAUUUUUAAAGAAUUAUAAAUAUCUAAAAAGCUUGAAAUAAACUAUAUGUAUACAUAUAUAUAAUAGGUAAGGAAUAAAAAAAUAAAUAAUACAUAUAAAAUAGAUUAAGGUAACAUAUAUAUACAUAAAGCAAGUUAAGAUAAAUAAUAAGAAUUUGAAUAAUCAGUACAUUAAAAUAAGUUAGAAUAGAUGUAAAUAAGUAACAUAUAAAAUAUUUGAAAUAACAUGUAAAUGAAACAUUUAAAAAGGGUUAAUAAAUGAAUUAAAUAGAUUUAGGACAUGGCUAAAAAUAAAUUAAAAUUCGGGGUAUAAAAGUAUAAAUACUGGAAAGUUAAUUAGGGAUCAAAAAGAAAACCAAAUAGGAUUUGAGGGCUAAAUUUAAAAAAACAAAAGAAGAUAGAAAAUGGGGCCUGAUUGAAUGGGGGUUGAAAAGGGGAAGGACCAAUCGCAUAAAUCUCCCUUUUAAGGAGAAUGCACAAACCGCCCACUACACCAAACGGCAUCAUGUCGUCAUCAUCAUUUAAACCAAAACCUUUUUUUUUUUAAUUUCAUUUUCAGCCCCUAUUUUUUUAAGAAAACAGAAAGCUUUUUGCUUUCUCUCCUUCCCCUUUUCUCCCCUAUUUCUCUCUUUUUGGCUAGGGCUUCAUAUACCCAUCAUCGUUGCCGUCCGACCACCGCACCACCACCGUAUUCGGUGGCCAGCGAUGCGCCAAAAUGGGCCCUUAGCCUCAUCUUGAAACACCCUAGAGAAACCAGCCCUCAAAACCCGAAAAAAAAGAGUUGAAUAGAAAUGGUUCUCAACCCCUUCGGGUUCGAUUUUGACAACGGAGGAGGACCCUCCGGCACUGCAACCGUGGGAAACCAGUGAGUCUCUUCUUCUCCCUUUUUGUUUAUGUUUCUAUUUAAAAUCGUUUUUGGUAAAGAAAUGAAAAAUACAAAUAAAAAUGUAAAUCGAAAGAAAACAAGAAAAGUAAAUCGAAAUCAACCUUUGCCUUUGCUUCUAUUCUGUUUUUUUUUUAAUGUUCGUAACCGUUUACAAAGAAAAGAUAUUGGCUUUUAAAGCCAAUCUAAAAACUGUUGGUUUCAUAGUUUUUGUUAUUUUGCCAUUUAUUUCUCUGUCGAUCGCGUGCCUUCUUGCUGUUAUUUUUUGAUUUGGUUGCAGGUGUUGCGACGCGUGGAAGGGGCAAUGUUCAGGGGCGUGGUGGCUGAGGGGAGGCCAAAAGUCGAGGGGGAGUGGCGGCUGAACUUUGGUGGCUAGGGUUAGGGUGACUGCUGAAAAAAAUUAAAGAUAGUUGGCUAGGGUUUAGUUUAUUUCGGGCCUGGUAAUUGGGUUUGAGUUUGGGUCUGAUUUUGUAAUGGACUUUAAUUAUUUGGACUUUUAAAUCUGUUUAUUUGAGAUUUAUUUUUGUAAUUGGGUUAGACCAAAAUUGGCUAUUACACCACAGAUUUGCCAUCGUUCUUUUCAUAGCUGGAAAGUGAAAAAUAAUUGCCGUUAAAAAAUAACCUACUAAUUGAAAUUCACCCCUUUCAUUACCCAAGCCAGGAUCUAAAUGGAUCUGCAAAAUUUCAUUUUUCUUCUUCAUUGAGUGACAGAUCUGCUAACUCGUUUUCCAUUGAUGCAGGUUAAUGGUGGCGUGAUGAAACACAGACUUGCAAAAAGAUGAAAAUAUGGGACAAAAAAGACAAGAAAAACAAAUAAGACCUAAACGAUCAUGCCAGCGGCGGCAGACUUAAGCUUGCUAGGGUAGCAGACGAAAAACUAUAGCUUUUAAAUAUAUGAUGAAUUUAAAAGACUAAAUUUAAUCCAUAUUCUAUUAAAUAAAUUAAAUAAAUUCAAAUUUUAACAAAAUUAAUAUUUAUUAUUUAAAAAAUGGUUUUUAGUCCAUUUUAACUCUAUUUAGAUUGCAUAUAUAAACCUAAAACAAACGGAUAAAAUAAAGAGAAACAGAUGGCAUUAAUUAAUAUCCACAAUAAUUGCAUUUUUUUAUAAAGC